UACGUAGGGUGCGAGCGUUGUCCGGAAUUACUGGGCGUAAAGAGCUCGUAGGUGGUUUGUCGCGUUGUCCGUGAAAACUCACAACUCAAUUGUGGGCGUGCGGGCGAUACGGGCAGACUGGAGUACUGCAGGGGAGACUGGAAUUCCUGGUGUAGCGGUGGAAUGCGCAGAUAUCAGGAGGAACACCGGUGGCGAAGGCGGCUAUCUGGACCGUAACUGACGCUGAGGCGCGAAAGCGUGGG
rnacentral:rRNA from 1 species